rnacentral:SRP_RNA from 1 species
GAUCGGGUCUUGUGCAAUUCGAUCCCGUGAACCCUGUCAGGUCCGGAAGGAAGCAGCAGUAAGCGGACCUUCGUUUGUGCCGCAAGGGUGCCUGCCCGAC